UUAAAGGUGUGUGAAUGUCCCAACAGACAUUGAAUGGUAGUAAUCCCGUAUGUCUUCCUAUAAUCUGUAAAGCAGGUCUCUAAAAUCUAACUUUUGGAACAGUUUUUUAAACAUGUCUUUAUGUUUACUCUAUGUAGACAUAUAUUACUAGUUUCAUGUGUUAGGAAUAAUUAUAAAUCACAUGAUGGUAAAGAAAUAAUAGUUCUAGAGGAUUUAAAAUUAACAAAAAGCAUGUUUUGUCUCUUUUGGCACUCCAUUUUCAAGCAAAUGAAAUGUAUUUUCUGUCAUAUUUUUUUUCCCAGAAUGUAAGACUUGGAUAAACAUGUGUUCGGCACAAUGUUGAUAUCAUGAGAAGAUGUCACCUGUGGAAAAUCAGGGCCGAAUCUUCUAAUACCUUAUCAUGUACAAGUCUAGUAUUUUGUAAAACCAUUUAGGUCCAUAUAGACAGCAUCAAAACCUGAUAGAUGGUUUUGAAGAAAAAGAAACAAAGAAAAAAGGAUCAGUAUAAGCGUCAAUGGAAUUAUUAUACUUCUAUGUGAUAUUUUUAUAAUACAGUCUGAUGCGAUGCCUUCGACUUCCCCAGCCAAUCUAUAUUUAUUGUUAUGUAGUGGAAUUUGAUGUCUUUAAGCCAAGAUUGAUUUCAUUCAAGAGUUCCACAAAUGAACAUAUUGAACCUUAAACUGUCAUAAGGCACCAUAACAUGUAUUUGAUCGUCGCUCUUCUCUUUGAUAAGAUGCAUAUGGUACUUCUUCUCCUUAUUGAGCUUCUGGUGUCUCUUCCAGAGAGCUAGCAGCUCUAGUUGAUCA
rnacentral:misc_RNA from 1 species